GACGAACGCUGGCGGCGUGCUUAACACAUGCAAGUCGAACGGAAAGGCCCUGCUUUUGUGGGGUGCUCGAGUGGCGAACGGGUGAGUAACACGUGAGUAACCUGCCCUUGACUUUGGGAUAACUUCAGGAAACUGGGGCUAAUACCGGAUAGGAGCUCCUGCUGCAUGGUGGGGGUUGGAAAGAUUCGGCGGUUGGGGAUGGACUCGCGGCUUAUCAGCUUGUUGGUGGGGUAGUGGCUUACCAAGGCUUUGACGGGUAGCCGGCCUGAGAGGGUGACCGGGCACAUUGGGACUGAGAUACGGCCCAGACUCCUACGGGAGGCAGCAGUGGGGAAUAUUGCACAAUGGGCGGAAGCCUGAUGCAGCAACGCCGCGUGCGGGAUGACGGCCUUCGGGUUGUAAACCGCUUUCGCCUGUGACGAAGCGUGAGUGACGGUAAUGGGUAAAGAAGCACCGGCUAACUACGUG
rnacentral:rRNA from 1 species